rnacentral:rRNA from 1 species
GACGUAGGGGGCAAGCGUUGUCCGGAUUCACUGGGCGUAAAGGGCGCGCAGGCGGUUCCGUAAGUCAGGCGUGAAAUACCACGGCUCAACUGUGGAAUCGCGUCUGAUACUGCGGUGACUUGAGGGCGGUAGAGGCAGAUGGAACUAGCGGUGUAGCGGUGAAAUGCGCAGAUAUCGCUAGGAACGCCGGUGGCGAAGGCGAUCUGCUGGGCCGUUCCUGACGCUCAGGCGCGAAAGCUAGGGGAGCGAACCGG